AGAAUUUUAAAUUCCAACUUCCAUACAAUGCACUUUUUUUCUCUCUCUCUCUCUCUCAAAAAAAAAUAUUUUAUAUUAUGGGGGGUGUGUUCUCUCCCCCCUUGGGGGGGGGCAACCCCCCAAAAAAAAGAAGGGGGGGGGGUUUUUGGGGGGGGCGGGAACCCCCCGCGGGAAACAAUUACAAAAAAGAGGGUUUCCGUCUUUUCACCCCGGUUUUUUUACCUGGCCUUCUAAGUGUAACCCGAACGAACCCCCCGCCGGAAUGAAACUUUGGGGGCCCCCCCGGCCCCGGGAAGGGCCCCCCGGGGGCCGCCCCCCAAAAACAACCCCAAGGGCCCGAGGCUUGAAGGUUGAAAAAUGAACGCCUAGAAAACCAGGACAUUGCCCCCGGCAGAAAAUUAGGCCGGCGGGGCCGCCAUAGUGUGCCUUUACAAGAAGAUUUUAGAAUGAAUCUACAAGCUGAAAAUUUUCUGCCAAAUUUUCCACCAAUUUAAUCUUUAAUCCGCCAUUUUUGCGGCUGUCGUUUUCUUUUCCAUUGCGAAUGGCCCAAGAAACCACAAAGGAAGAUUUCCCGGUUUGUUUGAAAAAUGUUUUUUGAAUUCUAUUUUUGUUUCUUUUUUCAGGGGCCUUCAAGAAGAAUUAAGCUGGGAAAAAAAAAAAUUAAAGGAAGUUUUUUGGAAAUCCCUUUCCGGGCCGGGGCCGUUGCCCCCGGCCCCGGAAAAGCCAAAACGAACCAAGGAGGGUUUAAUUGUUUCCAACCAGGGGGUUUGGGAAGUUUUUUCUUUCCCCUCCCAUUAUAUGGUAAAUCACAGGGGGUUCUCCCCCCCCCACCGGACGGAACCCCACAAAAAAAAAUGUGGGGGGUAAGAGGGAGACCCCCGCGGGAAAUCGAAAGAGUUUUCCCUUUUCCCGGUUUUUUUUGCCUCAGGUUCCCGAGACCCCGCGGAAAAACUGGGGCCCCGGCCGGGAGGGCCCGGGCCCCCCAAACACCCCAGCGGGGUAAGGUGAAAGACGCUCAACCAGCAUGCCCGCGGAAUACCGCGGGCGCAAUGGCUUCAAAGAUUGAUGAUUCAGUGAAUUCUGCAAUUCACCAUUACUUAUCGCAUUUCGCUGCUUCUUCAUCGAUGCCAGAACCAAGAGAUCCGUUGUGAAAGUUUUGAUUAUUUGUCUUUCAGGCUCAGAGAUACUGGAAAAAAUAAGAGUUUUGAACCUCCGGCGGCGUGCCCGCCGAAGCAACGACAGAGGUUAUGUUCACAGGGGUUGGAGUUUUUCAACUCAGGCUUCCAGUAAUGGGUACCUGCGGAGGGAUCAUUACUGAGUUGAAAAACUCCAACCCCUGUGAACAUAACCUCUGUCGUUGCUUCGGCGGGCACGCCCGCCGGAGGUUCAAAACUCUUAUUUUUUCCAGUAUCUCUGAGCCUGAAAGACAAAUAAUCAAAACUUUCAACAACGGAUCUCUUGGUUCUGGCAUCGAUGAAGAACGCAGCGAAAUGCGAUAAGUAAUGUGAAUUGCAGAAUUCAGUGAAUCAUCGAAUCUUUGAACGCACAUUGCGCCCGCCGGUAUUCCGGCGGGCAUGCCUGUUCGAGCGUCAUUUCAACCCUCAAGCCUCGGCUUGGUGUUGGGGCGCCCGGGCCCUCCGCGGCCCGGGGCUCCCUCAAGUUCUUCGGCGGGCUCGUCGGUACACUGAGCGCAGUAAAACGCGGUAAAACGCGAACCUCGUUCGGAUCGUCCCGGCGUGCUCCAGCCGCGUAACCCCCAGAUUUUUAAAGGUUACCCCGGAUCCAGGUGAGUUACCGCGCGCUAC
rnacentral:misc_RNA from 1 species